GAUGAACGUUGGCGGUGUGCCUAAUACAUGCAAGUCGAACGGAGUUGAUAGCAAUAUUAACUUAGUGGCGAACGGGUGAGUAACGCGUUGGUGAUCUGCCUCGAAGUGUGGAAUAACGUCCCGAAAGGAACGCUAAUACCGCAUGUGCUCUCGAUUUUUUAGAAAGUUGAGAGUAAAGGAUUUAUUCGCUUCGAGAGGAGCCUGCGUCCCAUCAGCUAGUUGGUAGGGUAAUGGCCUACCAAGGCUCUGACGGGUAGGGGACCUGAGAGGGUGGCCCCCCACAAUGGAACUGAAACACGGUCCAUACACCUACGGGUGGCAGCAGUAGGGAAUAUUAGAAAUGGACGAAAGUCUGAUCUAGCGACACCGCGUGUGCGAUGAAGGCCUUCGGGUUGUAAAGCACUUUUGAGAGGAUGAGGAAGGACGGUACUCUCAGAAUAAGUCUCGGCUAACUACGUGCCAGCAGCCGCGGUAAGCACGAGAGUA
rnacentral:rRNA from 1 species